UUGACAGCCUUGGAGACUGAAGCCCUCUACCUACAGACCAGGUAGAGCCUUGGCAGCAGCUGUUUCAGCGUCCACACUUUCCCCACCACCGUGCCUCAGCCCUGACCUGGAAGAAUCACCUCUGGAGGUGAGAGGGGAAUUUCCCCUCCAUCCCCAUUGAGAGCUUUGCCUUU
ensembl:misc_RNA